rnacentral:lncRNA from 1 species
AGCAAAUGUGCCACGUCAAGACUGGAAAUCACAGCCCUUGAGUGUGUCUCAGUCAGCGCAGCAGAAUUCAGGGGGGAAAGCUGAAUGCAACCCCUGGUGCAGGAAGGGAGGCUUUUCCUGAGGACCGGGAGAGGAUUUUAAGUACAUAGAAGGAAGCUUCUGGAGAUCCUGCUCCGUCGCCCCAGUGUUCAGACUACCUGUUCAGGACAAUGCCGUUGUACAGUAGUCUGCACAUUGGUUAGACUGGGCAAGGGAGAGCAACGCCAUGGACCGCUGGGGACAAAAUGGGCUGUUUCCAAGGAGAAGACAUUUGUUUGCUCCUUUUUUGAAUCUCAUAUCCAGUGUUUUUCUUCACAGGUUUUGCACACUAGGGACCAAGAAGCCCUCGGGGACACUGCUGAGAAAAGACUGCCGAAGGGAAGACCAGCGGGGAUCAUGGAAUCUAUUCCAGAGGAAACUAACCAACAGUGAGCAUCUUCAACUAAAACUACCCCUGGAUGUAAUAAGUGUAAGUAUUAAAAUUAAACAUUAUAUGUGGUCAUGAAGAGAAAAUUGUUUCAGGGUCUGUCCAAACUACACUUCAUAGAAAUUUCAUAAUUAUUUUUCAUUUUAGCAUGUGAAUGAUUGAUAAAUUGGACUAGGUACUGGGUUAAAAGGACUUUUCCACCAUCUAAGAGAAAGGAAGUUCAGAGCCUUAGCUUCAACACCACAAUUUCUUAACUGGAAAAGGAUCAAUCUAAAACGGUGGACUUAAAUUUUCAAACUCAUUUUUCUUUUAGGCCACAGAUCUCAAAAUCAAAGAAAGACUGUUUACUAUAGGACAAAGUUUCACACUGAUCACUUUCCUGUAGUUAGUCAAUAGGCUUAAUAUCCUUCCUGCUUGGCAUUCGGGCUUUCGGCCCAGAUAAUAUGUUUAUGUUUGUAAAAGACCAAAAUAUACUAUCUACCCCCACCUCUCGCCUACAGACCACCCAUGUAUUUCACUCUGUGGGAAACAGUUUAGGCAUAAAAAUCCUAACGAAAGAAUUCUCCCCACUUUUUUGGUUGAAGUCUUAAGCUGUUAUAAGAUAUAAAAAGUACAACUUGGUAAUGUGAAAAAAUUCACUCAUCCACAAGCAUCCAUGCUCGGUAAAGAGACGCCAAAGCUUUCACUUACUCUGUAAGGGAUCUGCUCUUUAUAAACAAUGCACUUUACUCUGCUCUAAGGAGAAUAGCCCACCCAUCACAAUAACGUCAAAAUAAUAACUAAGAGACCAUCACUCAGAAAUCCUGGCUUAAAAUAACUAGAAGGUCAGGCUUUAACCUGAGACAGGAAAUUCCUGAGUUAAGAUAGAAACUUUCUUACUUCAAAUCCCUUCUUACUUUCAUGUUCUGUAAAUUAAGUAGAAAUAAAUAUUUACUCAUUUUCAAAGGUCUCUUACAAAUAAUUUUUAUCAGUUUUAAUAGUUAGAGAUAACGAAGUAAAUUAGGAAAAAUAAUUAAAUCUUCAUUUUGAAUUUUUUGACUUAGCGUGACAGCCAGUUUCCUGGAGUUGCUUUGGUUUAAUUUCACUACAGAAGACUUAGAAGACAAUUCUUUUCUUACAUUUUUUUCCUUAAGAAAUAAAAGACAAAAAGAAAACAAGGUGUAAUAACCACACUAAAAAUUACAUGGUAUGAUAAUAAUACAAAUAGCUCUUUUAUGUUUUAGCUAGUAUUUUAAGUAAUAAUAAACUAAUAUUCAACCUAUAAUUUGGGAGAUUAAAAAAAGGUCAAUAUGGUUUUCAGUCUUUCAUCUUUUUAACAAGUUUAGGGGCAGGUUCAACAUAACAAUGAAGUGUGCAUAUGUCACAUAGUUACUGUAAGUGUGUUUUAAAAAUCUAUCAGAAACAUAAAUUGUCCAAAAGCCUUAUGAAUAGAACAAUUGUUUUCAGCAAGAUUUUUUUUUUCCCCUGAAAAACUGUUGUGGUUUUUCUGGCUCAAAAAAUUUUUAUAUCUUGCCUUAAUAAAACUGUUUUAUAUUAAAGCAUAACAUACAAACUCACAAAUAUUUCUUUUUAUUUUUUCAGGUUGCAUGCAUCAUUCCUUUAAUUGAGCAGAGUUAACUGGAUCAAAUUAUUUAUGGGAGAGAGAGGAAAAGUUAUAAAGAAUUAUAGUAAUUUUUAAUUUCCACCAAUAUACUCUUUGUAAGUGAAUCACUCUAUAAUUACUUUCUGUUGCACUGAAUGCAGCAACAAUAACACAAUAGUAUUUUAAGGCACUGGUUUUUGGCAUACUCUAACCUUGUAAUUAUUUAAAUAACAGCCAAGUUUACUCAUGUUUUUGAUUCUGUCAAGAAAAAAAAAAAGUUCCUUUACUCGAAAGUGAUGGCCGAAACAGAAUCGGAAAUUUGUUUUCUUGAAAUUACAUAAAUACACAGAAAAUGGCACUUAUUAGCUUUUGUUAAAACAUUACCUUACCUAAUCACUGCAUAAAAGUCCAGAUUUGUAGAAAAUUGUAAUUUUCUCAGUAUCUAAAACUAUUUUGCUUUCCAUUAAGUUUCUAUUUGCUAUUUUCUCAGAAUUUUACAAUUAAAGAUAAAUCACAAACUGUUUGUUUUUCUUAAAGUUCUUUGAGAAAAUGUCUAAUUAUACAAUCCUUGGACAAUACUGUGUUUUUUUGGUGCUGUGUUUUUUAAGAAGUCCUACUUACUGGAAUUUUGACUAUUUGGAUAUUUUUGUUUUUAAAAGGGGAGGGGAAUUUGCUUAAUACUUCUAAAGAUGUGAAUUGAUAAUUGAUAUUAAAAUAGAAUUACUCUCAACUCACCAGAAUUAAAUUUUAUAUCUGCAUAUUUAACACUAUUAGCUCAUAUAAAUUAUAAGAAAAAUUUUCAAAGGAUCUGGUUUUAAUUUUUUGGAUAUGAAAUGAAUUUGCCUUUUCUGCCUUUUCUUAAGUACUAUUUUGUAACUAUAUUGCACUAACUAUAUCCAAAACACAUUCUGAGCAUCACUGUGAGUAACAGCCUUCCAGUUUGUACCCUUUUGAUUCACAGCAUGGCCCUAUAGUUAAUUAAGAGGUGGAUAACUUAAGCUCACAACUGCCUUUAAUUUGAUUUCACAUCCACAGUUAUAAACUUUGCAUUUAAAAGGAAAAUGAGACAUUUAAAUAGGUUCCUGUUGUUUCACAUAUAAUUGGUAAAAACAUAUUCCCUUGUAGGAUCCUAUUAUCAGAGCAUCAAAUACCAAAGUCAGCAACUUGGGUUGCCAAAUAAAUUAGGCUCAUUAAUUAUUUUGAAAAGGGCUGCUGUUUCCAUGUAAAUGAUAAUUUUCUUUUUCAUGGACAAGGUUAUGGUACUUAUCUACUAAAAGAAACAUGCAUAAACAUAGUUUUUAUCUUUAACUUCAGUAUUAAAAUAUGCAGUUUUUUGCAAAGAGGAAAAACAUCUGGUUCAAUUACGCUGAACUCUGACUACAUGUGGGCCAGUAAUAAUAUGAAUUGGACUUAAGAAUAAACCUUGUGUUUAAUCUCUUUUUUUCCUUAAAAUUUUAAUGUGAGUUUUCUGUUACGCAAAUUAUCCAUGUUAGCACAUUUGGAACAAAUGUAUAAAUGUACUUUCUGAAUAAAGUCAAAAGUCUAACUUGUUUUUAGUUCCAUAAUGUUUUAAUGUUUAAUUAUAUUGUGUAUUUUUCUCCCUUUCCCCUUACUCUCCAAAAUCACCAAAUCUGGAAAACAGGCUGAUUGUAUCUGUCUAUGAGCAAAGGAAACCUGAAGGAACCAAGGGCCUGGCUGGACAGAGUUGUCAUGUGUCUGCCUGUCUACACUUGCUGUGCAGAACAUCCGCUCACCUGUACAGCAGGCACAGACAGGCAGUCACAUGACAACCCAGCCUGAAUGACAACCAGCCAUUGAAAGAAAGCAGCCCUCACACCAUAGCAUCUACACCAAGAGCUACAACCAAAAUGAGGGGCUCGGGGGCCUGGGGUUUUAAUCUGUUGGUUUAAUACUUAACUCAUGUAUUAUUUUAUUUUGAUUCAAGUAUUAAAACCCACCAAAAGUAAAGUGAGUGGUGCCUAUGAAAUAUAAUAAAACCCAUUUCUGAAAAUGUUCCUGUGCAUUCUAUAGUUCUCUUUUCCUAAUUGUUGUCAGCAAAUCACUACCCUUGACCUUUAUUGUACACAGCUUUGCAGCACCCUAUAUUGAUAUAAAAACUCAAUAUAACAAAACAAUAUAACUUCAGUCUGAUGCUUAACAAAGAAUAAAUUAUUCUAAGAAUUCUUGUCCAUAAACUAAGUAUGGUUUUCUAUGUCAUGAUUUUUUUUUUUUUUUUUUUUUU